UACAGAGGUCUCAAGCGUUGUUCGGAUUCAUUGGGCGUAAAGGGUGUGUAGGUGGCGCCGUAAGUCGGGUGUGAAAUUUCGGAGCUUAACUCCGAAACUGCAUUCGAUACUGCGGUGCUUGAGGACUGGAGAGGAGACUGGAAAUUCAUGGUGUAGCAGUGAAAAUGCGUAGAGAUCAUGAGGAAGACCAGUGGCGAAGGCGGGUCUCUGGACAGUUCCUGACGUGAGGCACGAAGGCCAGGGGAGCAAAACGGGG
rnacentral:rRNA from 1 species